AAUCAACGCUGGCGGCGCGCUUAACACAUGCAAGUCGCACGAGAAAGGGAGCAAUCCUGAGUAAAGUGGCGUACGGGUGAGUAACACGUGGGAAUCUACCUCUUGGCGGGGAAUAACCCUGGGAAACCGGGGCUAAUACCGCAUAAGCUCGUAAGAGGAAAGCAGCAAUGCACCGAGAGAGGAGCCCGCGGCCGAUUAGCUAGUUGGUGGGGUAAUGGCUCACCAAGGCGAAGAUCGGUAGCCGGCCUGAGAGGGCACACGGCCACACUGGCACUGAAACACGGGCCAGACUCCUACGGGAGGCAGCAGUGGGGAAUCUUGCACAAUGGGGGAAACCCUGAUGCAGCGACGCCGCGUGAGCGAUGAAGCCCUUCGGGGUGUAAAGCUCUUUCGACAGGAACGAUAAUGACGGUACCUGGAGAAGAAGCUGCGGCUAACUACGUG
rnacentral:rRNA from 1 species